AUUUAUUUAGUAUAUCAGUACAUCUGAUUUCCAAUCAGAAGGCCUAACAUUUAGAAUAAAUA
rnacentral:tRNA from 1 species